UACGUAGGGUGCGAGCGUUGUCCGGAUUUACUGGGCGUAAAGAGCUCGUAGGCGGUUUGUCACGUCGUCUGUGAAAACCCGAGGCUUAACCUCGGGCCUGCAGGCGAUACGGGCAGACUUGAGUACUGUAGGGGAGACUGGAAUUCCUGGUGUAGCGGUGGAAUGCGCAGAUAUCAGGAGGAACACCGGUGGCGAAGGCGGGUCUCUGGGCAGUAACUGACGCUGAGAAGCGAAAGCUAGGGGAGCAAACGGG
rnacentral:rRNA from 1 species